CAGUCGCCGCGGGAAUACAGAGGGUGCGAGCGUUAAUCGGAUUUACUGGGCGUAAAGCGUGCGUAGGCGGCUCCUUAAGUCGGAUGUGAAAUCCCUGAGCUUAACUUAGGAAUUGCAUUCGAUACUGGGAAGCUAGAGUAUGGGAGAGGAUGGUAGAAUUCCAGGUGUAGCGGUGAAAUGCGUAGAGAUCUGGAGGAAUACCGAUGGCGAAGGCAGCCAUCUGGCCUAAUACUGACGCUGAGGUACGAAAGCAUGGGGAGCAAACAGGAUUAGAUACCCCUGUAGUCCCUGUCUCUUAUAC
rnacentral:rRNA from 1 species